CAAAACUGCUUUAAAACACAUGGACUUUCCCCACGUGAAUCAAUAUUCAAGCCCUGAUCUCCCUGUUGAGGAAUGAGGCCAAAGAGAAGAGGGAGCUGAAAGACAGACGAGACAGAGGGAGGGCUGUGGGAUGUCAUCUGUAAAGAAGGAGAUUCUCAUUGGAGGCAAAGAGAAAGAAGAUUGCUAUGCAUGUUUUGAGGAAAAGAAAGGGGAAAAAGGAAAACAAAAAGCAUCCUACAUGCUGAAGCCAUCUUGGUCACACUACACUCUACUGGACUCCACAUCUGAUUGUUAUUAAGAAGCUUUGGGGGGGGGAAAGCUCCAACAAGACUGGAAUGAUGUCCUCCAAGUUGAAGUGGCUGAUUGUGUUCCAGCUCCUGCUGAAUGAACAGGCUCUGUGCAGGGUCCCACCUCCUCUUGCACGGAGAAACAUUACGCUUCCAGGAGCUGACUUCAAUGAAGGGGGAAAGGAGACAACCAAACCGGAUCAUCAGUCUCUUCUGGGAUCCCAAACCCAGCUCAGUAUCUCAGCAGCAGAAAAUCCUGAUCCUAUUCGAUCUGCCAAACGUAUAAUGUCAGUCCUCAGGGCGAAACUUCAGGGGCAGAUUCAAGAUCAUCUCCAGAUUCAGGGGAAUGUCAGCUGUGAGGAGUUGCUGUCUGCUAGCACCGUGGACGACCCAUCAUCCUCCAUGUUCCCCCAGGAGCUCCUGGGUCUCUCUUUAGUGCCUGUGUUGGUGGUGGCAGGCUGCCCACAAGAGGCACAGACCCUGGUGCUUAAGCUGUACAGCCUGCUGGGAGUGGCAGACACGGAGGAGCUUCUGAUGGAGGUGGAGGGUCUGAUAGAGAGGAGGAUGAGCAAGUUUGCAUCAACACCUGCACCUGCAUCAGAAGCAUCGUCUUCAGGGAGGGAUCAAACAGGGCGCCACAUAGAGGCUGUGAUGUUUAACAUCCAGCAGCUGGCCAUGGUGGGAGAAGGUCCCUCCAAACAGAAAGGGCAUUGUGAGGGUUGGACCAGGGUGAGGGGAACCACACUGGCAGGAACAGCUGUGGAAGGAGCCACAGGUGAUCUAGAGGAGGCUGUGAGCACCUGCGAGAGACUGGGAGUCCUGUGUGCUGGUGUGACCAGCAGUGGACUACUCAAACCUGGGAAAUACCAGGCAGUGUUUAAGAAAGGCAGCCACGUCCUGCCCUCUGAAUCCACAGUGUCUGAAUGUUGGAUCCGUCAAUGCAGCGCAGAGGACCAUGUUUUUGAGUUGACCUCCGCUGCUUCGGGUCAUCGGGUGAAGCGAAGCCCCCAGAGGAGCUGCAUCAACAAAAGCGAGGAGCGUGUGUACAACGUGAUGGAGUGGAUCCCUGCAGUCAGCACCCUCUACAACCUUGGCACAGCUGUGUAUUAUGCUUCAGUCAACUGCUCUGAAACAGCCAAGGAGAGAGCCAUCCUCAGUGCGGUUGACCUCGGCACGGAUGCUCUCAUGGUCGCCACAGGGGGAACUGCCGGGGUGGCAGGCUACGCCCUGGGUGCAGGGAUGAAGACCGGUGUGAAAGCUGGUGUCAAGUAUCUGCUCAGCUCCAUGAAGCAGGAAGACGAUGUGCUGGUGAACCAGGUCAGCUGGGAGGAGGGCGUCAUCACCAUUUUUUUUCAAACAAUGACACAGGAUCAAUGUUUGUUAACUGACAUGUUUGAAGAGUAACAUAUCGGUUUACUAGACUUAAGGUUAAUUGGAAAACAAGAUUACACGUUUUUGUAUUACUCACUCGAUUAUCAUAAUCAAGUUUUGAAAGGAGAAAAAUAGUUUAAAAACUUAAUUAAAUUACACAUUAAUUGUAAACAAUGUCAAUAUUCUAUAUAUAUAUAUAAAUUAGUAUGUUCAUAACGUAACAUAAGCUAACAACCUUUUUCCUUGUAGAAAAAUAGCUGCUUUUGCGUAAAACAGAUAGUUGAACAAAUAUUAAGCAGACAUUUUUGAAGAAGAACUGGUCUCAGGAAACUAAACAUCCAAUCCCUCAAGACUUUCAUUUUCCUUUCCAACCAAUGUUGUUCUUUUGUUCACUCUUGAUGUUUUCUUCUCUUCCAUUAUACCGUUUGGUCAGGUCAGAGUCACAUUCCCACCUCUGGUGUUAAUUGCAGGGACAAUAGACUGAAAACUAAAUUUUGUUUUUUUACAUUCUUUUUUUCUUCAAAUGUCAAUAAAUUGUAUAUUAAAUCAAUAUGUGUGUAUACA